GCGCCUACAAGUUGCGGGAGAAGAAGAAGUUGAAGAAGAAGAGGAAAGAUUUUCUUUUAUAUUCAUACGACGAAGACUCUUCAACGUGAUCACUUGUCUGCUGUCUGUCUACUUGAAUGUUCGGACUUCGGUGUGGAUCACACUCAAGAGGAUAAACCAACACAACUGGACUGUGUGGGCUCAAAAAGGUGUUUGUGGAGAGGAAGCCACAUCUGAUUUGGACUCAAACUAGGUACUGUUCCUAGAACUGAUGACCUCAACUUACGUGCAGCCUGUUUCUGUUUUAGUGUUUCUUGUAAUGUGAGUUUAUCAUUUAAUAACCUUGUUUUCAGUGUGAAAUAAAAUCCUACAUAUA